AACCCAUGAUGAGGACACCUUCUCAGGAGAUCAUUAAAUCUCUCCCAUACAACAUAUAAUGUCUCAAGCUCAAGUUAAGCAAAAAAGGAGAUGUCAUUCCUCACCUU
rfam:Gossypium hirsutum cultivar TM-1 chromosome 15, whole genome shotgun sequence